AACGAACGCUGGCGGCAUGCCUAACACAUGCAAGUCGAACGAGACCUUCGGGUCUAGUGGCGCACGGGUGCGUAACGCGUGGGAACCUGCCCUUAGGUUCGGAAUAACUCCCCGAAAGGGGUGCUAAUACCGGAUAAUGUCUUCGGACCAAAGAUUUAUCGCCUUUGGAUGGGCCCGCGUUGGAUUAGCUAGUUGGUAAGGUAAAAGCCUACCAAGGCGACGAUCCAUAGCUGGUCUGAGAGGAUGAUCAGCCACACUGGGACUGAGACACGGCCCAGACUCCGAAGGGAGGCAGCAGGAGGGAAUAUUGCGCAAUGGAAGAAAGGCUGACGGAGCAAAGCCGCGUGAGCGAAGAAGGCCGUCGGGUCGUAAAGCUCUGUUGUUAGGGAAGAACAAGUAUCGUUCGAAUAGGGCGGUAACUUGAAGGUACCUAACCAGAAAGCCACGGCUAACUACGUG
rnacentral:rRNA from 1 species